rnacentral:rRNA from 1 species
UCUUCUUGAAAUAAUAGGAAGUCGGGCCUGUCCACUGAUUUAUACGAAGGGCCGCGGUAAUUUGACCGUGCAAAGGUAGCAUAAUCAUUAGUCUUUUAAUUGAGGGCUGGAAUGAAUGGUUUGACGAAAUAAUUUUUGUCUCUAGUAUAAUUUAAUUGAAGUUUACUUUUAAGUUAGAAGGCUUAAAUAAUAAUAAGGGACGAGAAGACCCUAUAGAUCUUUAUUACCUAAUAUAUAAUAGUAAUUUUGGUUGUUUAUGUUUUUAUAUAUUAUGUAAUUUUAUUGGGGUGAUAUGAGAAUAUAAUAACUUCUUAAAUUGUAACUUUGAUGAUAGAAUAAUUGAUCCUUUAAUAUGGAAUAAAGAUUAAGAUACCUUAGGGAUAACAGCGUAAUUUAAUUGGAGAGUUCUUAUUGAUAAUUAAGAUUGCGACCUCGAUGUUGGAUUAAGGAUAUAUUUAUUUUGGUGUAGGUGCUAUUAAUAUUAGUCUGUUC